GCUCUUUGAGCGGCCGAUGUCAGAUUAGCUAGUUGGUGAGGUAACGGCUUACCAAGGCGACGAUCUGUAGCGGGUCUGAGAGGAUGAUCCGCCACACUGGAACUGAGACACGGUCCAGACUCCUACGGGAGGCAGCAGUGGGGAAUUUUGGACAAUGGGGGCAACCCUGAUCCAGCCAUGCCGCGUGAGUGAAGAAGGCCUUCGGGUUGUAAAGCUCUUUCGGCCGGGAAGAAAUCGCAUGGGCCAAUACCCUGUGUGGAUGACGGUACCGGAAUAAGAAGCACCGGCUAACUACGUGCCAGCAGCCGCGGUAAUACGUAGGGUGCGAGCGUUAAUCGGAAUUACUGGGCGUAAAGCGUGCGCAGGCGGUUUUGUAAGACAGGCGUGAAAUCCCCGGGCUCAACCUGGGAACUGCGCUUGUGACUGCAAGGCUAGAGUACGGCAGAGGGGGGUGGAAUUCCACGUGUAGCAGUGAAAUGCGUAGAGAUGUGGAGGAACACCAAUGGCGAAGGCAGCCCCCUGGGUCGAUACUGACGCUCAUGCACGAAAGCGUGGGUAGCAAACAGGAUUAGAUACCCUGGUAGUCCACGCCCUAAACUAUGUCAACUAGGUGUUGGGUGGGUAAAACCAUUUAGUACCGUAGCUAACGCGUGAAGUUGACCGCCUGGGGAGUACGGCCGCAAGGUUAAAACUCAAAGGAAUUGACGGGGACCCGCACAAGCGGUGGAUGAUGUGGAUUAAUUCGAUGCAACGCGAAAAACCUUACCUACCCUUGACAUGCCAGGAACUUGCCAGAGAUGGCUUGGUGCCCGAAAGGGAGCCUGGACACAGGUGCUGCAUGGCUGUCGUCAGCUCGUGUCGUGAGAUGUUGGGUUAAGUCCCGCAACGAGCGCAACCCUUGUCGUUAAUUGCCAUCAUUUAGUUGGGCACUUUAGCGAGACUGCCGGUGACAAACCGGAGGAAGGUGGGGAUGACGUCAAGUCCUCAUGGCCCUUAUGGGUAGGGCUUCACACGUCAUACAAUGGUCGGUACAGAGGGUCGCCAAGCCGCGAGGUGGAGCCAAUCCCAGAAAGCCGAUCGUAGUCCGGAUUGCAGGCUGCAACUCGCCUGCAUGAAGUCGGAAUCGCUAGUAAUCGUGGAUCAGCAUGUCACGGUGAAUACGUUCCCGGGUCUUGUACACACCGCCCGUCACACCAUGGGAGCGGGUUCCGCCAGAAGUAGGUAGCCUAACCGCAAGGAGGGCGCUUACCACGGCGGGGUUCGUGACUGGGGUGAAGUCGUAACAAGGUAGCCGUAGGGGAACCUGCGGCUG
rnacentral:rRNA from 1 species